AACCGCCGUGUACGAGACCCGUAUGUCCGGUGGUGUGAGAGGACGGGGUUUAGUCCCCCUCCUACUCGAU
rnacentral:autocatalytically_spliced_intron from 1 species